rnacentral:rRNA from 1 species
UAUGUAGGGGGCAAGCGUUGUCCGGAAUCAUUGGGCGUAAAGAGCGUGUAGGCGGCCCGGUAAGUCCGCUGUGAAAGUCGGGGGCUCAACCCUCGAAUGCCGGUGGAUACUGUCGGGCUAGAGUGCGGAAGAGGCGAGUGGAAUUCCUGGUGUAGCGGUGAAAUGCGCAGAUAUCAGGAGGAACACCAAUUGCGAAGGCAGCUCGCUGGGACGUAACUGACGCUGAGACGCGAAGGCUAGGGGAGCGAACGGG